rnacentral:misc_RNA from 1 species
UUCUUGCCCAAGGAGCGCGUAUGCUGCUAGGCUGUACAAAAAUCAUACCCACUAUAUCAAAGCCGUCGCGCUGUCCAAACUUCAAAAUCAUCACUGAAUAGCGUCAGUAACAUUUGACUGCCUGUAAGCUUAUUCUCUGCACUCACUUUACACCAAAAAUCUCACCCAUAAUUCUUUUUUGUCCUCUGUCCCUCUUCUUGGCUUUUUUUUUGGCUAUGGAGGACAAUGCAAAGCUGCUUCUUGCAAAAUUGAACGGAAUUCUUGAUGACAUUUCUGCUAUUACUGAGUUUCAAUGCUCAGUAAGGCACCAGUGUCGCCAUCUGUUGAGGAGGUUAAGGCUUUUAGCUCCUUUAUGUGAAGAAUUACAGGAGUUUCAGGAAAAAGUCCCUCAACACACUCUAAAAGCUUUUGUUUCUUUGAUGGAUGCUUUCAUUAAGGCUAAGGGUUUGCUUCAAUUUUGUAGCCAUGGCAGCAAAAUUUACAUGAUAUUGGGGAGGGAGCAGAUUAUGCAUAAAUUUCAGGAACUCGCAGGUCAUUUUGUGAAGGCCUUGUGAGAUUUCCCUUGAUAAAAUUAACAUUUCAGAAGAAAUUAAGGAGCAGGUAAAUGUCCAUCGCUGCAAUUAGGUGUGUGCUUCUUGAAUAAAUAAUUGUUAGAGAGCCCUAUAAAAGAGCUAUUCCAAUAAUGGUUUUCAAACUUUAAAGUUCUCAAGUUUUAUUAUUUUAAUCUAUGUAUUGCUAAAAAUAAUUAUAUUUUAUUUUAAACGAGGACUUAGAUACUCUUAAAAUAAUUAGUUGCCCUUCUAUGUUACUCAAACAGGAAAUUCUGACUUUGAAGAUGUCUUAAUUGCAUACUUUUAUCAGUUUUCCCUUUUCUUUUCCUUUUCCUUUUCCUCUCCUUAUCUACACUAAUAUUACCUUUACCAGUUUGAGCUUGUGCAUACUCAAUUUGCAAGAUCCCAGGAACAGCUUGAUACACCUGAAUUGGAGUUGUUCAAGGAUUUUUUUCUCGUCUUCAAUCAAGCUAAUGAUUUAGAAACUAAUCCAGCUAUUAUUCAGAGAAUAUGUGCAAAACUAAAUUUGAUGAGUGCUGAAGACCUUGAGAAAGAGUCGAUAGCGCUGCAUGAGAUGGAUGUUGCUAGUGGUGGAAAUCUUGGGGAAAAAGAAAAAAUGUCAACAUUGCUAAAAAACUUAAAGAUUUUUUUCUGGCAGGACAUGCUAAAUCCAGCAUUUCUGCAGAAGCCUGUUCUUCUCCUGGUUGCGAUGGUCAGGGCUGUCAGGUGCACACUGACCUAUCUUCCCAGUCACAGAUUAUGCCAUUUGAUUUCCAUUGCCCGAUAUCACUGGGAUUGAUGAAAGAUCCUGUAACCAUUUCAACAGGUCAGACCUAUGAACGAGCUUGCAUUAAGAAAUGGCUUG